rnacentral:rRNA from 1 species
CUGGCUCAGGAGUGAACGCUAGCGACAGGCUUAACACAUGCAAGUCGAGGGGCAGCAUAAAAGUAGCAAUACUUGGUGGCGACCGGCGCACGGGUGAGUAACGCGUAUGCAACCUACCUAUCAGAGGGGAAUAACCCGGCGAAAGUCGGACUAAUACCGCAUAAAACAGGGGCACCGCAUGGUGAUAUUUGUUAAAGAAAUUCGCUGAUAGAUGGGCAUGCGUUCCAUUAGGUAGUUGGUGAGGUAACGGCUCACCAAGCCGACGAUGGAUAGGGGAACUGAGAGGUUGGUCCCCCACACUGGUACUGAGACACGGACCAGACUCCUACGGGAGGCAGCAGUGAGGAAUAUUGGUCAAUGGGCGGGAGCCUGAACCAGCCAAGUCGCGUGAAAGGAAGAAGGAUCUAUGGUUCGUAAACUUCUUUUGCAGGGGAAUAAAGUGCAGGACGUGUCCUGUUUUGUAUGUACCCUGACGAAUAAGGAUCGGCUAACUCCGUGCCAGCCGCUGC